AGUUUGAAAUAAGAAAGCCUUCUGAUGGAACCAAAUCUGGGAUCUCUUAACACUGACCAAAGAUUGAGGCCUCCAUUGGAUAUAAUAGUCACUUAGUACUGUUAUGUUUUCCUGAUGGUGAUGCAAGU
ensembl:snoRNA